rnacentral:rRNA from 1 species
GGCGAACGCUGGCGGCGUGCUUAACACAUGCAAGUCGAACGAAGAGCGAUGGAAGCUUGCUUCUAUCAAUCUUAGUGGCGAACGGGUGAGUAACGCGUAAUCAACCUGCCCUUCAGAGGGGGACAACAGUUGGAAACGACUGCUAAUACCGCAUACGAUCUAAUCUCGGCAUCGAGGAUAGAUGAAAGGUGGCCUCUACAUGUAAGCUAUCACUGAAGGAGGGGAUUGCGUCUGAUUAGCUAGUUGGAGGGGUAACGGCCCACCAAGGCGAUGAUCAGUAGCCGGUCUGAGAGGAUGAACGGCCACAUUGGGACUGAGACACGGCCCAGACUCCUACGGGAGGCAGCAGUGGGGAAUCUUCCGCAAUGGACGAAAGUCUGACGGAGCAACGCCGCGUGAGUGAUGACGGCCUUCGGGUUGUAAAGCUCUGUUAAUCGGGACGAAAGGCCUUCUUGCGAAUAGUGAGAAGGAUUGACGGUACCGGAAGAGAAAGCCACGGCUAACUACGUG